rnacentral:lncRNA from 1 species
AGUUUUCAAACAACUCCAAGAUGACCCUUGGAAAAUAAAGAGGUUCCUAUUUUUCCAUAUGAGUCAAGCUAACAGUCUAAAAAGCGUAAGCCAAGGAGCCCCAUUCCUCAACAAUGACCCUGAGUUCCUCAAAUUUAUCCUCACGCAGUCCAAGAGAAAAGUCGAAAAUAACUGGGAUUGGCAGUUUCUUGGAACGAAGUACGCCCAC